rnacentral:rRNA from 1 species
AUACGUAGGGGGCGAGCGUUGUCCGGAAUGAUUGGGCGUAAAGGGCGCGUAGGCGGCCUGUUAAGUCUGGAGUGAAAGUCCUGUUUUCAAGAUGGGAAUUGCUUUGGAUACUGAUGGGCUUGAGUGCAGGAGAGGUUAUCGGAAUUCCCGGUGUAGCGGUGAAAUGCGUAGAGAUCCGGAGGAACACCAGUGGCGAAGGCGGGUAACUGGACUGCAACUGACGCUGAGGCGCGAAAGUGUGGGGAGCAAACAGGAUUAGAUACCCUGGUAGUCCACACUGUAAACGAUGAAUGCUAGGUGUAGGGGGUAUCGACCCCUUCUGUGCCGCAGUCAACACAAUAAGCAUUCCGCCUGGGGAGUACGGCCGCAAGGUUGAAACUCAAAUGAAUUGACGGGG